GACGAACGCUGGCGGCGUGCUUAACACAUGCAAGUCGAACGGAAAGGCCCUGCUUUGGUGGGUUGCUCAAGGGCCAAACGGGUGGGUAACCCGUGGUUAACCUGCCCUUGACUUUGGGUUACCUUAAGGAACCUGGGGCUAAUACCGGAUAGGAGCUCCUGCUGCAUGGUGGGGGUUGGAAAGUUUCGGCGGUUGGGGAUGGACUCGCGGCUUAUCAGCUUGUUGGUGGGGUAGGGGCUUACCAAGGUUUUGACGGGUAGCCGGCCUGAGAGGGUGACCGGCCACAUUGGGACUGAGAUACGGCCCAGACUCCUACGGGAGGCAGCAGUGGGGAAUAUUGCACAAUGGGCGGAAGCCUGAUGCAGCAACGCCGCGUGCGGGAUGACGGCCUUCGGGUUGUAAACCGCUUUCGCCUGUGACGAAGCGUGAGUGACGGUAAUGGGUAAAGAAGCACCGGCUAACUACGUG
rnacentral:rRNA from 1 species